AAAAUUUCUCUCUCUGGACGUGCUAAACAGCUGAAAAUCCUCUUUCCCCAGUGACUUCAAUCUAUUGAUGCUUCUGCAAUAUCAGAUCUGUAUCAUCCAAGGAUUUCAUUCACUUCGCCCUCAGGAAGAUGGGACGGUGCUGCCAACUCUGUUUCACAGAUGGGAGAGGGAGGCACAAUAUAUAUCUAAGGUAGACCAGGCCCUCUUUAGGUACUGGAAGAUUGCUACAAUCAAUCAACCAUAUGAAGUCUCUGCACACCAAAAUAGAGGGACAACUUCAUCACUGUUCGUCCACUUGAUCUGGCUUUUCUGCUCAAGGUUGCCUGCUGGUGAGACACUUGGCCCCUUCUCCACGCUGUCCAGCUUUCUGCUGCAGGUGUUGUUUUACGUUGUAUAAAUAGUUGGGACUGGAGCAGGAGCACUC
rnacentral:lncRNA from 1 species